rnacentral:rRNA from 1 species
CUGCUCAGGACGAACGCUGGCGGCGUGCCUAAUACAUGCAAGUCGAACGCUUCUUUUUCCACCGGAGCUUGCUCCACCGGAAAAAGAGGAGUGGCGAACGGGUGAGUAACACGUGGGUAACCUGCCCAUCAGAAGGGGAUAACACUUGGAAACAGGUGCUAAUACCGUAUAACAAUCGAAACCGCAUGGUUUUGAUUUGAAAGGCGCUUUCGGGUGUCGCUGAUGGAUGGACCCGCGGUGCAUUAGCUAGUUGGUGAGGUAACGGCUCACCAAGGCCACGAUGCAUAGCCGACCUGAGAGGGUGAUCGGCCACAUUGGGACUGAGACACGGCCCAAACUCCUACGGGAGGCAGCAGUAGGGAAUCUUCGGCAAUGGACGAAAGUCUGACCGAGCAACGCCGCGUGAGUGAAGAAGGUUUUCGGAUCGUAAAACUCUGUUGUUAGAGAAGAACAAGGAUGAGAGUAACUGUUCAUCCCUUGACGGUAUCUAACCAGAAAGCCACGGCUAAUCG